rnacentral:lncRNA from 1 species
UUUAACAAUUUCGUCCAUGAGAUGCAAAUUCAAAACUCAUUAGGAGCCAAACUAAUGAAAAAAAUGAAAGAAUUUGUAGGGAAUGCUGAGGGUUGUGUCACAAGAGAGGGCAUUGCACAAGGCCACCACGUUUUACAAUUCCAGGGCACCCCCAUUCACAUCAUAUUGUAUGUGAAUGGUGCCCCCUAGUGUAGAGCAAUGCAGAGGCCCUCUACAUGCCCUGUUCAUUCAUUCAUUCAGGACGUCCUCAAUGAGCCAACUGUGCG